AUGUUGUUACUUAAAAUUCUGUUUUCUGUGAUUUUCGCUGUUAUUAGGGACAUACAACAUCUCAUUGUGUGGGAACUAUAGGAGAAACAAUACUAACACAUAAACUAUUUCCCUCAGUGUAUAAAUUCCCAGACCUCUGCACAUGUUUUAGGAAAUAAUUAAAAUAAUACUAAUUAACAUUUACUGAGUGCUUUCUUUGUGUACUUAAUAUGAGUUAUCCUUACAACCCCCUCUAUGAGAUAGUGUAGUUAUUUUCUUUACGAUGAAGAAAGUCUUUGAUAUCUAUGUGAUUUCUCCAAGAUUAUAUAGGCACAAUAAUUAAUUAAGGAUUUGAUUUGUUAAAAUGAUACAGUGUUUCCUGGGUGAAUAAUUUUAUUAGAAUAAUAGCAUUAAAACUGUUUGUGGUCAGCUCAUUACAUAUGCUUUUGAUGAACUCUGAAGGAUGGCUUAGAUAUGUUAAAAUUUUCUUAAUUUUAUUCUUUGUUUAUAUCCUGGACAAAAAAGACAGAUCUGAAGAUCUUGGCCUGAUAUUCAUGGGGUAUUAUUAGAAAUGUGGAUCAAGAUCAGAUUGUAAGAAGCCUUGACUGACAAAUUUGAGGCACCCAUGAAAGAUUUUGAAGCAGUAUUUGGGGAGACUUCUACUAAGUGUAGUGUGGAAUGGAUUGAAUAGAAUACCACUGAUGAGGGUAACAAAGGCAUCUUGAUGUAAAUAAAUGUCUGGAUCAGGGAAAUAAUAGUACUAAAAUAAAAUAGUUGGAGAGGAUCUAUUUUAAAACUGUAUUUUGUAAUUUGACAUUAACUUCAUCCUGUUAUAUACCUAGUAGUUGAAUAGCUGAGUCGUAUGGUGUAUGUUUUAGUAUUUUGAGGACCUGGCAAACUGCUUUCCAGAGUGGCUGCACCAUUUUACAUUGUCACUAGCAGUGUAAGAGGGUUCCAGUUUCUUCACAUCCUGGCCAGCAAUUGUGAAUAUGUGUCUUUCUCAUUUUAGCCGUUCUGGUGGGUGUGAGGUAAUACUUCAUUUUGGUCUUGCUUCGCAUUUCCCUUAUGGCUAAUGAUGAUGAUGUUGAACAUCUUUUCAGGUGCUCAUUGGCUGUUUCUAUAUCUUCUUUAGAGAACUGUCUGUUCAAAUUGCUCAGUUAAAAAUUAGUUUUUGUGAUUGAGUUGUCAUAGUUCUUAUAUACUAGAUGCAAGUCCUUUAUCAGAUGUAUGAUUCUGUUGUCCUUUCAGUUUCUUUCAAUUAUCAUGAUGUCCAGUUACCUACUUUUUCUUUAAUGUUUGUAUUCUUAGUGCCAUAUGUUGGAGACUUUUAAAUGGAGCAAAGUAAAGAAAGAAGCAAGCCCUGUUGUCAUUGUCUCCUUUGUGGAGGGAUUUUUUUGAGGCUUUUCUUAUAAUCAUAGGAUUUGGGCAACUGCAAGUAACUAACUUUUGGGAUGGUAUGCUUAUUUAAUAGUUAAGGUGAGAAGGUCCACUUUUUUUUCCAUGGACAAAGAAAUAAACUUUUUAAAAAGGAUCUUUUUUUGUUUUGUUUUGUUUUGUUUUGUUUUGCUUUUUAGGGCCACACUUGUGGCAUGUAGAAGUGCCUAUGCUAGGGGCCCAAUCAGAGCUAUAGCUGCCAGCCUGUGCCACAGCAACGCAGGAUCCAAGCCAUGUCUGCAACCUGCACCACAGCUCACAGCAACACAGGAUCCUUAAUCCACUGAACGAGGCCAGGGAUCGAACCUCUGUGCUCAUGGAUACUAGUCGGAUUUCUUUACAUUGCGCCACAACAGGAACUCCAAGGGAUCGUUUUCUUAAAUUGAUAGUUGUGAGAUGAUAAAAUACAUAUAGUCGGAAAUAUUAUUCUAGUAGUUUGGAAAAAUCACUUCCUCCCUAGAUUUUAAAGACUAGUACAGACUAACUAUAAAGUAAGAUGGGUAGGGAGUAGAUAGAUCCAGGGAUUCAGUGUAGAUAUAAUGCAGAGGAGAGAAAGAGAUAAAGAAGCAGUCCUGGCUGUUAUUUUCUUAUGAUCAUGAGUGUUAGUAGCAAUUGUGACUACCUUGGAAUAUUAUUCACUUUCUUAGGUGUAUUUGUUUCAUUUCUUUCAUUUUUUUAUGCUGCAAGAAGAGCCCUUGCUUUUUAAUGGGCAAAUUAAUGGAAAGGUAGGAUCUGUUGUAGUACUAAUUUGCAUCCCUCCCCCAAUCUCUCUCUCUAACACACACACCUUAGUUACAGCAGAAAGUCAUUAUUUCUUGUUCAGUGAAGACUUUCUACUGGUGUUAAAUGUGUGUAUAUUGACCCAAAUCAAAUAUUAUAUUACAGUCAACAUUGUAAUAUGAUAUAAACCAUGUUUAGAACAGCUUGAUGGAUUUCUAGAGGAAUGUUUUAAUUACAAAAUAAAAUAGUCUUUAAAGUAAAAUAGUAUUUCUUAUACAUUUGAGCCAAAAUAACAUUUAGGUGAAAAAUUUCUCUCUCAGUUUUACUAGAAAGAGGUUGAAUUGGCUUUUAACUCAUAAUGUCUGACUGGAAGCUGGGUUAGGGAAAGUUGUCAGUAAAAGAAAAGUGUCUCAGUACUAUUUUGUACUAUUCACAGAUUGAAUUUUUGAGAUCCUAUGUUUCAGAUUUCUAGAGGUGACUCACCUGUAUGUAAAUCUACUCUUAUGCAUGCAUUCUCACCAAAGCAUGUCCCUCCUUUAAUUAGGAAAGGACAAUUAAAAUAUUAUUUUUUUUUGUUUGUUUUUGUUUUUUCCUUUUUGCCACUGCACCUCUGGCAUGUGGAAGUUCCUGGGCUAGGGGUCAAAUUGGAGCUGCAGCUCCAGGCCUUCACCAGAACCAUGGCAACACUGGAUCUGAGCCAUAUCUGCAACCUACGCCAUAGCUUGCAACAGUGCCAGAUCUUUAACCCACUGAAUGAGGCCAGGGAUUGAACCCGAAUCAUCAUGGACACUUAACCCACUGAGACACAACAGGAACUCCUAAAAUAUUUUUGUUCUUUAAAAAAACCUUUUUGUUAUUUUAAAAGGAAAUUGCUACUUUAGGAAUGGGAAAGGAAGAAUAGGAAGAUCUGUAUUUUUCUUUAGUCCUUUUCUGAGUAUACUGAACACAUGGAUGUAAAACCUGGAAUUAUAAUAAAGUGUAGUGGUUCCCUGGGCUCAAGCAAGGAUGUGCAUGUCCUGGGUACUAUAAUUGAUUGAGAGUUGGAGACAUCAGGUAGGUGAUUUAGCCUUUCUGGCAUGUUUUUUACAUGUUGGAAUGAGGAAAGGGGAAAAGGUACUCCAAAUUCUGUGAUAUCUAUGGUAGAGUGCCUUGCCUAGCUUUUACCUUUUAGGUGAUUCCAUCCCCUAAACCUCUUUUGCUCUUGACAUACAUGUAACUAAUUAUUUGGUCCAGACUGCUUGGCAUGGCCUUACGCAUUUUGGAUCUUUCAUUCACAAAAAAUUUGUCUAAAGUCUUCUAGUAUUUUUUUAAUUUUUUAAUUAAUAUGCCUCAAUGUACAUUGUAGACUGUCUUCUGCUUCUAGUAUUUUAGGGUUGAGCAAGGAUUCAUGUUCACUUCUCUGGGUAAUUGAUGCUUUAAUGGAGAUUUCACUAAUUAUUACUAUGUAAUAUGUAUUAUUAUGACUAUGUAAACAGAGCUUGGGUUGUUUUUACUUACAUAUUUGCCUGUAUUGAAAAUCAUCUGCUACUUUAUCCCAUUUAUGAGGCCCUGUGAAACAUUCUAAGAAUAGUCUUAGCAUUUUCCUAGUCAGAAUUUAUUGUCAUUUGCACACCCAGCCAUUUAACUUGGUUUCCCCAUCCAGGUUAUUUAUCUUUUCUGAUCAUUUGUGGAAUGCAUUUACACUUCUCCAUCUCUGUCAGUAAAUGUUUUUCCUGGCCUUGGUCUUGUUUUUCUGUGAAACCUUUAAGGAGGACCAAACAAACAAACAAACAAAAUCCUUUAUUCCGUCUGACUUGUGAUUUCGUUUUUCCUGUUGCUUUGAAUAGUUCACAUUACAAAAUCUUUUUCAAAAUCUUUAAAGAGGACAGGAGUUCCUUCUGUCGUCUUGGGGGUCCGACAUUAUCUCUGUGAUGGCGUGGAUUUGAUUCCUAGCCUGUUGCAGGGGGUUAAGGAUACAACAUCACCACAGCUGUGGUGUGGGUCGCAGCUGUGGCUCGGAUUUGAUUCCUGGCCUGGGAA
rnacentral:lncRNA from 1 species